GAGACAGAUCAGUUUUGUAGAGUGAUUCCCAUGUGAAAGAGAGAACAUUUUUUGGAGAAGAAUAAUAGAUGAUGGAAAAUGAUGACCAAUGGAAGGAGAGAACAUCCUGCACGAAACAUUACUUGAAAGAAAUAGAAUUGUUAAGCAGCAGAUCUUGUGCUUUCAGGAGAUGUAACAGGACCUCAUUUCAUUUAAGGUGCCCAGCGAACACUGCUGUCCUUUAGCUUGAGAACUGUGCCUCCAUAUAGCUGAAGUAAAAACUGAUGCUAUUUAUGUUCGUUUUAACUUCAUUCCAAUCUGUUUGCAUUACAUUGAACAUUUGCUUCGACAGACGUUGUUUUUUUUUCCUGCUGAAGGCGAGCAGAUUGUGCUUGGUAUCGCAAGUCCUCCACAAACAUUCCAUAGCUGUGACAGGACCUGCACCUUAUCGCAUUUUAAUCCUUCACACAUAUAAAAUACUUUCAUUAAAUCCCGUCUCCGUGCGACUUCCCAUAGUCCGCUCACAGCCGCAGCGCCGUACACAACGAGGGCAAGGCGCGGCAGGGCCGGGCCCACUGCGGCACGGGGGCCCUCCCGGGGCCGGCGCCGUGAGGCGGCUCCCGCCCAGCCACCGGCACGCAGCGGGCACUACGAGUACCGAGAUGCAGCGCGCGGAGGGGCGGGCUCCGUGGGCACUACAGAUCCCACAAUGCUCCGCGUCGCCCUGUGGCUCCGCUCGGGGAGGCUGGUUCCUAUUUAAAUCUGGGCAGCGAGGAAAAUGGCGGCGAGAGGUUGAGCGCGGGGGAGACGGGGACAGAGCUGCGCCUUGGCUCCUUUCCCAGUCCAUGAAAACAAAGCCAUUAGAUUCAGUGCCCUUGGAGUACUGCUGGUGCUACUCAGGAAAGCCAGGAGGUCCUCGUACAUCUCAGCAUUGUAUUUGA
rnacentral:lncRNA from 1 species